AAAAUUUUUCGUUAUGUAUCAAAGAUAUUAAUAACAUUUAAUAAGAUUUGUUGAAAAAAAUUAAACAGAAAUAUGAGCCUAUACAAUUGAACGCAUCAACUUCGAAAAAAUAAAGCUGUCGUUUACACAAACUUUUAUUGAAUGAGAAACUUGAAUGAAAAAGGUGGAUAUAAAGGAUAUUUAAAAGGGAUUUAUAAAAUUAUUUAAGUCAAAUGUUCCGCAUAGACAUAUAUGCUACUCCAUUUUCAGUGGUUUUGCUUUUAAUUUCCUUAUCAACUUGGCUAUGCAUAUGUCGCUGGGGAUUUCGAUAUAACUUGAAAGAUCGAGAAGUAAUUAUUAGAUGUAUUAAUGUUUAAUAUAAUUAUUAUUAAUAGUUCGCUAUCAUAGUUUUAAAAAUUGUUCUGAACGACAAUCUAAUGGCAUUACCUAAUAACUAUAACUUUCAAGACAUAAAUAAUUUCGAUUUUGUACUUUAACAAUUAAUAUUCAGAUCCUUUCAUGCUUAAUCUUGUACUUCAUCGUUAUUACGCUAUUGAACAUGUUUUUCUUGGGCCAUAUGCAAUUUUAUUGUGAUUAUCCAAAAUGAAAUUGAAAAUUAACAAACAAUGAUUAUG